rnacentral:rRNA from 1 species
UACAGAGACUGCAAGCGUUACUCGGAUUCACUGGGCGUAAAGGGAGCGCAGGCGGAUCGGUGUGUCAGAUGUGAAACCCCGGGGCUCAACCCCGGGACUGCGUCUGAAACUGCCGGUCUAGGGACUCGGAGGGGCUAGUGGAAUUCCUGGUGGAGCAGUGAAAUGCGUAGAUAUCAGGAGGAACACCAACGGCGAAGGCAGCUAGCUGGACGAGAUCCGACGCUCAGGCUCGAAAGUAUGGGGAGCAAAAAGG